rnacentral:rRNA from 1 species
AUAGGGUCAAGUGAAUAAGUGCAUCAGGCGGAUGCCUUGGCGAUGAUAGGCGACGAAGGACGUGUAAGCCUGCGAAAAGCGCGGGGGAGCUGGCAAUAAAGCUAUGAUUCCGCGAUGUCCGAAUGGGGAAACCCACUGCAUUCUGUGCAGUAUCCUAAGUUGAAUACAUAGGCUUAGAGAAGCGAACCCGGAGAACUGAACCAUCUAAGUACCCGGAGGAAAAGAAAUCAACCGAGAUUCCGCAAGUAGUGGCGAGCGAACGCGGAGGAGCCUGUACGUAAUAACUGUCGAGAUAGAAGAACAAGCUGGGAAGCUUGACCAUAGCGGGUGACAGUCCCGUAUUCGAAAUCUCAACAGCGGUACUAAGCGUACGAAAAGUAGGGCGGGACACGUGAAAUCCUGUCUGAAUAUGGGGGGACCAUCCUCCAAGGCUAAAUACUCAUCAUCGACCGAUAGUGAACCAGUACCGUGAGGGAAAGGCGAAAAGAACCCCGGGAGGGGAGUGAAACAGAACCUGAAACCUGAUGCAUACAAACAGUGGGAGCGCCCUAGUGGUGUGACUGCGUACCUUUUGUAUAAUGGGUCAACGACUUACAUUCAGUAGCGAGCUUAACCGGAUAGGGGAGGCGUAGGGAAACCGAGUCUUAAUAGGGCGAUGAGUUGCUGGGUGUAGACCCGAAACCGAGUGAUCUAUCCAUGGCCAGGUUGAAGGUGCCGUAACAGGUACUGGAGGACCGAACCCACGCAUGUUGCAAAAUGCGGGGAUGAGCUGUGGGUAGGGGUGAAAGGCUAAACAAACUCGGAGAUAGCUGGUUCUCCCCGAAAACUAUUUAGGUAGUGCCUCGAGCAAGACACUGAUGGGGGUAAAGCACUGUUAUGGCUAGGGGGGUAUUGCAACUUACCAACCCAUGGCAAACUCAGAAUACCAUCAAGUGGUUCCUCGGGAGACAGACAGCGGGUGCUAACGUCCGUUGUCAAGAGGGAAACAACCCAGACCGCCGGCUAAGGUCCCAAAUGAUAGAUUAAGUGGUAAACGAAGUGGGAAGGCACAGACAGCCAGGAUGUUGGCUUAGAAGCAGCCAUCAUUUAAAGAAAGCGUAAUAGCUCACUGGUCGAGUCGUCCUGCGCGGAAGAUGUAACGGGGCUCAAAUCUAUAACCGAAGCUGCGGAUGCCGGUUUACCGGCAUGGUAGGGGAGCGUUCUGUAGGCUGAUGAAGGUGCAUUGUAAAGUGUGCUGGAGGUAUCAGAAGUGCGAAUGUUGACAUGAGUAGCGAUAAAGCGGGUGAAAAGCCCGCUCGCCGAAAGCCCAAGGUUUCCUACGCAACGUUCAUCGGCGUAGGGUAAGUCGGCCCCUAAGGCGAGGCAGAAAUGCGUAGUCGAUGGGAAACAGGUUAAUAUUCCUGUACUUGAUUCAAAUGCGAUGUGGGGACGGAGAAGGUUAGGUUGGCAAGCUGUUGGAAUAGCUUGUUUAAGCCGGUAGGUGGAAGACUUAGGCAAAUCCGGGUUUUCUUAACACCGAGAAGUGAUGACGAGUGUCUACGGACACGAAGCAACCGAUACCACGCUUCCAGGAAAAGCCACUAAGCUUCAGUUUGAAUCGAACCGUACCGCAAACCGACACAGGUGGGCAGGAUGAGAAUUCUAAGGCGCUUGAGAGAACUCGGGAGAAGGAACUCGGCAAAUUGAUACCGUAACUUCGGGAGAAGGUAUGCCCUCUAAGGUUAAGGACUUGCUCCGUAAGCCCCGGAGGGUCGCAGAGAAUAGGUGGCUGCGACUGUUUAUUAAAAACACAGCACUCUGCCAACACGAAAGUGGACGUAUAGGGUGUGACGCCUGCCCGGUGCCGGAAGGUUAAUUGAAGAUGUGCAAGCAUCGGAUCGAAGCCCCGGUAAACGGCGGCCGUAACUAUAACGGUCCUAAGGUAGCGAAAUUCCUUGUCGGGUAAGUUCCGACCCGCACGAAUGGCGUAACGAUGGCCACACUGUCUCCUCCCGAGACUCAGCGAAGUUGAAGUGGUUGUGAAGAUGCAAUCUACCCGCUGCUAGACGGAAAGACCCCGUGAACCUUUACUGUAGCUUUGCAUUGGACUUUGAAGUCACUUGUGUAGGAUAGGUGGGAGGCUUGGAAGCAGAGACGCCAGUCUCUGUGGAGUCGUCCUUGAAAUACCACCCUGGUGUCUUUGAGGUUCUAACCCAGACCCGUCAUCCGGGUCGGGGACCGUGCAUGGUAGGCAGUUUGACUGGGGCGGUCUCCUCCCAAAGCGUAACGGAGGAGUUCGAAGGUUACCUAGGUCCGGUCGGAAAUCGGACUGAUAGUGCAAUGGCAAAAGGUAGCUUAACUGCGAGACCGACAAGUCGGGCAGGUGCGAAAGCAGGACAUAGUGAUCCGGUGGUUCUGUAUGGAAGGGCCAUCGCUCAACGGAUAAAAGGUACUCCGGGGAUAACAGGCUGAUUCCGCCCAAGAGUUCAUAUCGACGGCGGAGUUUGGCACCUCGAUGUCGGCUCAUCACAUCCUGGGGCUGUAGUCGGUCCCAAGGGUAUGGCUGUUCGCCAUUUAAAGUGGUACGUGAGCUGGGUUUAAAACGUCGUGAGACAGUUUGGUCCCUAUCUGCAGUGGGCGUUGGAAGUUUGACGGGGGCUGCUCCUAGUACGAGAGGACCGGAGUGGACGAACCUCUGGUGUACCGGUUGUAACGCCAGUUGCAUAGCCGGGUAGCUAAGUUCGGAAGAGAUAAGCGCUGAAAGCAUCUAAGCGCGAAACUCGCCUGAAGAUGAGACUUCCCUUGCGGUUUAACCGCACUAAAGGGUCGUUCGAGACCAGGACGUUGAUAGGUGGGGUGUGGAAGCGCGGUAACGCGUGAAGCUAACCCAUACUAAUUGCCCGUGAGGCUUGACUCUAU